rnacentral:misc_RNA from 1 species
CAUCUUUUAUAAUAAUUCUUAUUCUAAGCGAAUAAGUAAAUAAUAUAUAAGACAAACAA